rnacentral:lncRNA from 1 species
CCCCUCUCACAAAACUCACAGUGUCGACACAUCCAAAUCUCUUUUCAUUGGCUAACCCUAAAUUCCCAAGUACCAAAAUGGAUUGCUAACCCAAAGUCCCAAAUCCCCAAAAUCCAUUUGUUUUACUCGAAGGAGAUGAAGAACAGAGGAAUAAUUUAAAGGCAGCGAUUACAGGUGAGAAAAAUAUUUCAAUCGCGAGAAAUUUCGACCCAAAAGGCAAUAUGUGCGAAAUCAACUUCAGGUAAUUUUCUUUUCUAAUUUGGGUAUUUUCUUCUUUAAUCGUUCUUUUUUUCUUUAAGCUUUAUGGUGUGAGCAGUGUAUAUGAUUUCUGGCUUUUUGUUGACGUUUUGAACCCAAAUUAUUUGGGUUUAAGUUUCAUUUGGGUAUGGCUAACGUGGGUCAAAAUUUCUUUUGGUAAAUAUUGUGAGUUCUUCUCUGAACUAAAUUUCUUUGGAAAGUUACGUUAAAUUUCCUGUUGCAUGAGCUAUUAAGUUUGGGUCUAAGUUUGUUUUUAUAGCUAUGGCAGAAUUAUUUUCUUCAGUCUGCUAUCCGAUUGUAGUUUAAUCUUGGCCAUUGCUGAUUUGAUUUGUUGGGAUGAAAUUGGGGAGCAAAUAAAUCGAAACAGUAGAAUUCAAAGAGAGGUCUAUUUGUGAGUGUUUAUUAGAAGCUGUAAAUUUGGAUAUAAAAUAGAGCCCUUUGAGGUUCUGUGGCUAUAGGCAACAAUUAUUUUUAGUAAUAAAUCUUGGAUUUCGAUCCGAAUAAAGAGCAGUUUGCCAAUUGAGUUGUAGUUUGUAGAACUGUAGAAUUAUUUCCUUCCAUGUCUGCUAUUGUUGAGCUGUAGCUUGUAGAACUGUAGAAAUCAUUGAACUAUAGAAUUCUAUGGCAAAAUUAAGUAAAUUGCUUUUUCCCAAGUCUAGUUUUCUCGAAACUAAAUAGUAGUAGAAUUGUUGAACAGCAGAACCUUUCUCGGGUGGUAUCGAUACUAAUAGAUAAUUAAAAAAUCGUUCACGGCUUAUUCUGAUUUUCUCUUUUAUCAUUUGUGGGGGAGGAACACAGGGGCAUUUAUGUGUAAACAAAAGGAGCUGAAGCAUACUUCUGUUAGAUGCAUAUCAUAUCUGGAUAUAAAAGACUUAAUAAUACCAUUUGAGUCGAACAUAGUAAGCACAAUGAUUUAUCCCACAGUGGCAGUCAUUUUCAAUCUGCGGAUGGAAAUCUUAAAAUUUUUGUGAUCCAAUUCUAAUACUAAUUCUUCUUUUAGAAGAAAAAGAAAAACACAACCCUUAGGUAUGACCAAUAGGUAUGAACUGAAGUAUCAGAUGUAAGCAUGAUUCUAAGGGAUAGAUUCUGGAAACAAUAAACAUGUAAGCAUCUGAUCAAAUACAAAUGAUGAACUAAAGUAUCAGAUAACAGGAUGUUCUAAGUGACUAACAAAGACAUAAAGUACGUGACAAAGCAAAAUAUUAGUUUUUCAGCUUUCAGAGAGGAGAGAGAAUGAAGUUUAAUUCAGAAAGAAACACUGAAGCUCUCUAUUCAUUUUGGACUUUUGAUGAGUUAAUUUUGUUUGUUGACUCCUGGAAGUACUAUGCCUAGGGCAUUAGUUGUACUAAACCUUUAUAAUUAAAGUUGAUCCUUUGUUGAAUGUUAAAUUAAUAUGAACCUUGGUUUAUUUUGGUUAAUUUUGGUGAUUUACUUUUGUCGUAUAGGAUUUUAAUGGAUUGUGCAUAUAAAAG